CCUAUACAUGCAAGUCGAACGGUAACAUUGGUGCUUGCACCAGAUGACGAGUGGCGCACGGGUGCGUAACGCGUAUGCAACCUACCUUUUACUAGAGUAUAGCCCAGAGAAAUUUGGAUUAAUCCUCUAUAACAUCUUUUAAUUUCAUGAUUAUAAGAUUAAAGUUUUAACGGUAAAAGAUGGGCAUGCGUCCUAUUAGUUUGUAGGUGAGGUAACGGCUCACCUAGACUACGAUAGGUAGGGGCCCUGAGAGGGGGAUCCCCCACACUGGUACUGAGACACGGACCAGACUCCUACGGGAGGCAGCAGUAAGGAAUAUUGGACAAUGGACGAAAGUCUGAUCCAGCCAUGCCGCGUGCAGGAUGACAGCCCUACGGGUUGUAAACUGCUUUUAUACAGGAAGAAACACUCCGACGUGUCGGAGCUUGACGGUACUGUAAGAAUAAGGAUCGGCUAACUCCGUGCCAGCAGCCGCGGUAAUACGGAGGAUCCAAGCGUUAUCCGGAAUCAUUGGGUUUAAAGGGUCCGCAGGCUGUUUUUUAAGUCAGAGGUGAAAUCCUACAGCUCAACUGUAGAACUGCCUUUGAUACUGGAAAACUUGAGUCAUUGUGAAGUGGUUAGAAUGUGUGGUGUAGCGGUGAAAUGCGUAGAUAUCACACAGAAUACCGAUUGCGAAGGCAGAUCACUAACAAUAUACUGACGCUCAUGGACGAAAGCGUGGGGAGCGAACAGGAUUAGAUACCCUGGUAGUCCACGCCGUAAACGAUGGAUACUAGCUGUUCGUCUAACAUUGGUUAGAUGAGUGGCUAAGCGAAAGUGAUAAGUAUCCCACCUGGGGAGUACGGUCGCAAGACUGAAACUCAAAGGAAUUG
rnacentral:rRNA from 1 species